rnacentral:rRNA from 1 species
CUCAUGGAUGGCGGCAGCGGAUUAAACCUCAUCUACGAAGAAACCCUUCAAAAAAUGGAAAUUGACUGGAGCCGCAUUGAGCGAAGCAGCACAACCUUCAGGGGAAUAAUCCCUAGUCGAGAAGUACACUGCACAGGAAAAAUCAUGCUAGAUGUAGUGUUCGGCUCGCCGGACAAUUACAGGUCCGAAGAGGUCACAUUCCAAGUGGUCCCAUUCGGCAGCAGAAAUCACGCCUUGUUAGGGCGAGAGGCAUUCACAAUCUUCCAAGCUAUACCCCAUUAUGGGUACAUGAAGCUCAAGAUGCCCGGACCCAGUGGAGUAAUCACUCUCGCCAGUGAUCCAGAUACAGCACUCCGCGCUGAAAAUAAGACA